CUCUAGCUGCCAAAAGGGGGGAAAAAUCAAGAGCUGCUCUUAAAAGAAGUUGCCCUUGCGGGUGCUCGGGGUAAAAAUAGAGGCGGCCGCUCCGCCCGGCUUGGCCGUGACUCCAGCCCCGCGAGCCGGGCUCGAGCAGCGGCCGCGAUCCGGCGUGAUCCCCGGGAGCUGCCAGCAGGUGUUGCUCAAGAGAAUUGACUGAAGAGGAGACAGGAAACAAACAAACAAAAACAAACAAACAAACCAACCAAAACACACACACACACACACCAAAACCCCAAAAAGGAAAGAGAGAGAGAAAAAAAAAAAAAGAAAAAAAAAAAAAAAAAAAAAAAAAAAAAAAAGCCCCGUGCGUGAGGGGGGAGGAAGAGCGGAGCCUUUUAAAAGGGCCGUCACCACAACUUUGGCUGCCAGGAUGCCCUUGCUUUGGCUGAGAGGAUUUUUGUUGGCGAGUUGCUGGAUUAUAGUGAGGAGUUCCCCCACCCCAGGAUCCGGGGGGCACAGCGCAGCCCCGGACUGCCCGUCCUGUGCGCUGGCCACCCUCCCAAAGGAUGUACCCAACUCUCAGCCGGAGAUGGUGGAAGCCGUCAAGAAGCACAUUUUAAACAUGCUGCACUUGAAGAAGAGACCCGAUGUCACCCAGCCGGUACCCAAGGCGGCGCUUCUGAACGCGAUCAGAAAGCUUCAUGUGGGCAAAGUGGGGGAGAACGGGUACGUGGAGCUGGAGGACGACAUCGGGAGGAGGGCGGAAAUGAAUGAACUCAUGGAGCAGACCUCGGAGAUCAUCACCUUCGCGGAAGCAGGCACCGCCAGGAAGACGCUGCGCUUUGAGAUCUCCAAAGAGGGCAGUGACCUGUCCGUGGUGGAGCGCGCCGAAAUCUGGCUCUUCCUGAAAGUCCCCAAGGCCAACCGGACCAGGACCAAAGUCUCCAUCCGUCUCUUUCAACAGCAGAGGCGCCCGCAAGGCAGCGCGGACGCAGGGGAGGAGGCGGAGGACGUGGGCUUCCCGGAGGAGAAGAGCGAAGUGCUGAUUUCGGAGAAGGUGGUGGAUGCCCGGAAGAGCACCUGGCACAUCUUCCCCGUCUCCAGCAGCAUCCAGCGCUUGCUGGACCAGGGCAAGAGCGCCCUGGACAUCCGGACUGCCUGCGAGCAGUGCCACGAGACCGGCGCCAGCCUGGUGCUGCUGGGCAAGAAGAAGAAGAAGGAGGAGGAGGCGGAGGGGAGGAAGAGGGACGGAGAGGGGGCGGGCGUGGACGAGGAGAAGGAGCAGUCGCACAGACCUUUCCUCAUGCUGCAGGCCCGCCAGUCCGAAGAGCACCCCCACCGCCGCCGCCGGCGGGGCCUGGAGUGCGACGGCAAGGUCAACAUCUGCUGUAAGAAGCAGUUCUUUGUCAGUUUCAAGGACAUCGGCUGGAACGACUGGAUCAUCGCUCCGUCCGGCUACCACGCCAACUACUGCGAGGGCGAGUGCCCCAGCCACAUAGCGGGCACGUCGGGCUCCUCGCUCUCGUUCCACUCGACGGUCAUCAACCACUACCGCAUGCGCGGCCACAGCCCCUUCGCCAACCUCAAGUCGUGCUGCGUCCCCACCAAGCUGAGGCCCAUGUCCAUGCUGUACUACGACGACGGGCAGAACAUCAUCAAGAAGGACAUCCAGAACAUGAUCGUGGAGGAGUGCGGGUGCUCCUAGAGCGCCGGCCGGGGCCCGGGGCCCGGGGCCCGGGGACGACGGCGGCCACGCGAAGACACGUUUACGGCCUCUGACCUAGGCGACCGCAAACAUGGAAAUGAACAAAAAUAACCAUAAACUAAAAACAAAACCUGAAACAGAUGAAGGAAGACGUGGAAAAAUUCCGUAGCCAGGGCUCGGCGAUGACACCGUGAAGGAGACGGGACUCGGGGGGGAGGGAGAGGCAGAACGUGGGGGGCNAGGGGGGGGGGGGGGGGGGGGGGGGGACGACCCUUCCUUUCUUCCUCCAGCAUCGGAGUGGGGACAGCAGUUGCUCCAACGGGAAUAUUGUCCUCUCCUUUUCAGUUCCCUGUCAGUGUGAGCCUCGAAGUCAGCUUGUCUGGUCUGCAGCCAUGUGGGCUGGCACAACCCAAAUAGCGUCUAGAAAGCCAUGAGUUUGAAAGGGCCAGUUAUAGGCACUUUCCCACCCAGUAACCCAGGUCGUAAGGUAUGUCUGUGUGACCCUCUCUCUGUGUAUAUCAGCCCAUGCACACACCUACAAAGACACACACACACACACACACACACACACACACACAUUGCGCCCAGACACCCCCCCCCCAUAUGCACCCCGCCGCACACACACACUCAUGGACACCCACCCACCCACACACACAUGCACACAGACAUACACCAGACACACACAGAAGCAUUUGCACACCACACAACCUUCUGGUAAGAGAACACGAGUGUGCGGGGGUCACACCUUCUUUUUCUGCACCACUUCCGCAACAAAACAAAAACCAACAUUUAAAAAAAAAACAUUGAGAACAAGAACGGGAAGCAUGAAAGAUCAAGGAAAAAAGAAUACCAAGUUACAUUUCGUUAAGGUGCUUAUGAUCUUAGAACUAUGCAACCUAAUAGGUUUGAAACUGUUUACCUGAGAGAGAACAAAAAGAGAGACUUUUUUGUAUUGGAAGUAACCUGAUUAAUUUUUAUUUUCUUCAAGGAGAGAUACUUGAAAGGAAUAUGUUUGUCCAUCUGUUGGAUCCAAACAUUUCUAUAUUUUGUAAAUGUUGUUUUUUUUUUAUCGUUUACUAUUUGCACUACGAUGGUGUCUGACCUGUCUAAUCCUUAUUUAACAAGUAUUUUCUUUGGGUGGGGGCGGGGGGGGUUCAGAGCUGCACUUAAUGUGAGCUAUAAAAGAACUGCUACAGCACACAAAAUAGCUAUUUUUAUUAUUAUAAUUAUAAUUAUUAUUAUUAUUUUGUACCUUAAAAAAAUAGACACAUACACCAAAGACAUUUGUGUGAGCCUUUAAACAGUCUGUCUGUGGUUGGUAUCAUUCACCUUCAGUGAGUCAGGGGUCGGGAUUCAAGGUGGAGGGGGUGGAUUGUGUUCAGGCUGAAAAGACCUGAGAAGUUCGGGGUUUUGACUCCUUUUACAUCCAUGAAGCAGGACAUUUCAUACUGGAUGUACAGUAGUUGUACACUGUUCGGUAUCAAGUUCAACCAGAUUCAUGGGACGCUCCAUGCUUGUCUGUGUAUAUAUCCAGUGCUUGGGCACAUGCAUGUCUGUGUGUAUGUAUACAUGUGUUGCAUCGUGUCCAUACACAUUUUAAGCACUUCAGGCUGUCAUUUUGUAAUGUUCUUAAAGCAAUGAAUGUUUGUGUGCAAAACACAGUAUUUUUAAGAAGGAUAGGCUAUAGUUUUUGCUUUUACUCUGAACUAGGUGGGCACAUUUCAGAAAUUUGGACAGGAGGAAGCCUGGAAAUUCCAGUGACUCUUCAGUAAGACCCUCUUUGAAUGAUCCAAUUCCCUCUUUUUUCUUGUCCUCCACCCUCAUCCUACAAGGUACUCCCUGCAGGGAAAACAAAACAGGAAACUCAUGGUCAUCAAAGCUCUAGGCUGAUUUUUUUUUGGGGGGGAGGGAGGGAUAAUAUUCUUAUUAUCUGUUGGAAUCAAUCUUAAAUCAGAAGCUUUUUCAGAAAAAAAAAAUUAACCUUGAAACCAAGAUAAAAGAGGUGGUUGCAUUUUUGUUUUGUUUUUAUAACUAAAGUCUGGUUGUGAGAAAUAUGACCUGUACAGCUAGGCUGAAUCAUGUUGGUGUCACUAGAUAAAAGAGGAAUAAUUCAAGGGAAGGUGUUUAAGAGGGUGGGAGUAAGAAAGAGAAGAGGAAGCAGGAAUGGGGGGAAUAGUAAAAAUCCCUUUUACAGCCAAAAACUCUUGAUGUAUAAGUUGGUGUGUAUUGAUGUUAAUGCAAAAAGAAAAAAAAAAACACUUUGUUUUAUAAAUAUCAAAGUACAUGCUUAAAGCUAAAUUUUUACUAAUUUAUUCUGCAGUAUUUAGCUUGUCUAGAACAGGCCAUAGUUAUUCAUGUAUGUGCUUUUUAAAAUACAGAGCCUUAUUUGUACUGACUUGUUUGAAGUUGGUGAAAACUGAAAAAAAAAAAAAAAGGUCUAAUGGAGAAAAUUACCUUCUUUAGUAGUUUGUAAAAUAUUGAACCUUUCAGCUCUAUGUUAAUUCAUAGAUUUAAAAAAAAAUACUAGUAGGAAAAUAAAAUAUCAAUGAGAAACCA
rnacentral:lncRNA from 1 species